rnacentral:rRNA from 1 species
UACGUAGGGUGCGAGCGUUGCCCCGGAUUUAUUGGGCGUAAAGGGCGCGUAGGCGGCCACGCACGUCCGUUGUGAAAUCGCCCGGCUCAACUGGGCGGGGUCGGCGGAUACGGCGUGGCUGGAGCAAGCUAGGGGGCAAUGGAAUUCCCCGGUGUAGUGGUGGAAUGCGUAGAUAUCGGGAGGAACACCAGUGGCGAAGGCGGUUGCCUGGAGCUUUGCUGACGCUGAGGCGCGAAAGCGUGGGGAGCGAGUCCGG